rnacentral:rRNA from 1 species
CCUACGGGAGGCAGCAGUGGGGGAUAUUGCACAAUGGGGGGAACCCUGAUGCAGCGACGCCGCGUGGAUGAAGGAGUGCUUCGGCAUGUAAAGCCCUAUCGGCAGGGAAGAAGCCAGACGGUACCUGACUAAGAAGCACCGGCUAACUACGUGCCAGCAGCCGCGGUAAUACGUAGGGGGCGAGCGUUAUCCGGAUUCACUGGGUGUAACGGGAGCGUAGACGGCCAUGCAAGCCAGAGGUGAAAGCCCGAGGCCCAACCCCGGGACUGCCCUUGGAACUGCAUGGCUGGAGUGCGGGAGGGGCAGGCGGAAUGCCUGGUGUAGCGGUGAAAUGCGUAGAGAUCAGAAGGAACACCGGCGGCGAAGGCGGCCUGCUGGACCGCGACUGACGUUGAGGCUCGAAAGCGUGGGGAGCGAACAGGAUUAGAUACCCCAGUAGUC